CAUUAAGUUAAAAGGACAAACUAUGUUUUGAAAAUGAUAGUAAACAAACAUUUUAGAAUUUUACUUUCUGAGCAAUAGUACUUUUAUUUUUAUUUUUUUCUCUGUGGUUACACUCAUUUCUCCUUUAUUCACUAAGUUUUAACAGAAAUGGAAAAACAAAGACUUCAAAAGAUAUGUAAGUUAGAGUGGAUGCAGCUUAGAGCAUCAUUAGCUUUGGGUAAGUUCUGAUUUAGAAAAUAGGCGAAUAGUGGUUUCUUUUAAAAGUAUGAGAAAACACAAGCACAGAGCAAGUUGUAUGGAGAAGACAUGUUGUAUUGUGGAAGUCGCUUAAUCUAAAGAGACUGUGGGACACUCAAGAACAUAGAUCAAGCCUACUGUAUAAGUGUCUUAGGCUCCCUGGAGAGCUUUGGGCUGAAGAUGCUAAUUUGGAAAUAAUAUUUACAGAAACAGCAAGUGAAGUUACAGGCAUGGAAAGGGUUUCUGGGAAGAAUGGGAAGAGAAGACGACCAAGGGUAGACUUAGUCAACAAUGUUUAAAGAGUAAGAACAGGCAGAGAAUUCCACAAGUGCCACACUUAGGUCAGUAACAACUAGCAUGAAAGGGUAUGUGUUGCGUUUAGCAACCAGAACAUGGGGAUGAUAACAACGUGAGCCUGGGAUUAUGGCCUUGAAAGAAGAAAUGUGGAGUGAGAGUGGGAUUUAGGGAGUGAGAGACACACUAGGUAACAUGUGGAUCUGAAUGUCUUGCUCUGAAAUGCUUCUUUAAAAACACAAUUCCUCUGGUUGAAAAAGUAUCUACACUCGUUACAAAUUGUUAUGGGAAGCACAGAAGGGAAAAAGAAAACAAAAAUUAUUAUCGCAAGUGUAUUUCCUGCAUAUAAUUGAAACUUAGUAUUAGCGGGAUAAAUAAAUGUUCUGUUUCACAAAAUAAGACCAUCAUCUGCUAAUAUUUUUGGAGCCUUCUUCAACCAUUUAGCAAUGUUACAUAAUGGUUUUCCAUGUUAUGAAGUAUUCAUUUGUUUCCUCAUUUUGCUUCUUUAGUGCUCUGAGGCUCUUGUGGGGAGGAACAGGGCGGAAGAAAACUCACUUAUUUACUUUGCAUGUUAGAUUGAAUAUUAGAAUAACUUUGGAGAAAAAAAAGCUUUGCUGCUGAAAUUUAGAACUAUUGUUCAGAAGUAUUUUGAUAGCUGAUAUCAUAUCCUCUUUUAUGGGACUAUUUGAUACAUUCACACUUUUUCAAAAGUCCUGCUUUUUUUUCUAACUAUGCAUUUUUAUUUUAUAAAUAACACUUCGUGGAGCAUGCUUGCAAACAUAAUCUUGAAUAUACUGCAGAAUUUGGUUAGUUUUUACCUUACUUAGUGAUUUCUUAUCUAUUUGUGUAAUUAAAUCGUGCUGUAUUUUUCUGUGUAAUAUUUUGAGAGAUUCUAACAUCAGUAUUAACCCAGUUGCACAAAACAAUUUGAAAUCCAUACUUUUAUCAAUCAUCAGUUGCAGUUUGUAUCCUAUUAAAAGUACAAUUCCUUAGAAAAAUUGGAAAAUAUAAUUUGUUUUAUUAACACAAAAAGUAAUUCAAGUACAAAGCCAUAAAUAGAAGUAAUUAUUGAAAUUUUAAAAAUUAGUCCAUGGUUUAUAAUUUUUCAGAUCUAUUACAUUUUGAGAUAAGUUCACCAUUUGUAGGUUUCCUAUAAAGAAGCAUACAUUUUACAGAAAUUUGCUUAUGGGCAUAGAGUAAGACAGUUUAUUCUUGUAAAUAUCGUCUUUUGAUAUUGUCUUUCUUUCCCAGUUUAUGAACAAAUUUAUGGACAAUAUGAAAAAAUUCAACUCAGUUGAUCGAUGUCAUGUGUCCUGAUUGUUGAGAGAGGCUAUUUCCUGUGCUUUCAAAGUCCCUCAACAAUUUCUAUAUAGUUAUAAAUCCAACGGCCAGAUUCUUUCUUAAACUGCACAUAGAUAGUGAGGAGGCCCCUCCCCUUUCUGUCUGAAGAGAUGAUUUUCAUGGUGACUGCAACUUUAUUCUUGUCAAAACACUUGUAUGUAACGGGACAGCUGCCCUGUAUAAUGCGAGACAAAGCAAAUCAUCACUUUCUAAACAUACAAGUCAUGCUUUCUUAGUCACUGGAUCCCACUGCAGAUGGAAGGUUGAGAAACGUGGAAAAGAAAAACACGAACCGAGAUACGAAGGGUGAUACCGAGCUCCCGCGAUGAGAAGCAGCUUGCAAGGCUUCCAGGGCACAGCACCUGCCGCAGGGACCCAGGCUGCAACAAAAAGAACAACGUCAACUCCAUCUGACACGUCUCCAUUCAUCAUUCCAAACGACACACCCAGCAGCAGAAAGAAAUACCUAAGUCUAGUUCGAAAAUAUUUGAACAGUAAGAACCUGUGCAACAGAUUCGCCAUAGGAUAGGAGGACUUGACCUGGAUCCCAAAUGGCAGUGGAGGGAAUGGCGUGCAAGGACCUCAUGGAGGUUCAGUGAGUCUCUUCUGCAGAUUCAUGUGGUACAUAAAUAAACAGGCAUAAGGAACAUUUCCAUAGCAACUGUGUUUCUUAGGAAGAGGAAGAGCACAACAAUGCUUGAAUGUCAAACUCUCAAAGAAAACUAUUAUCAGGGAAAAAAAAGUAUAUAUAUAUAUAUAUAUAUAUAUAUAUAUAUGCAACCUUUCAAGUCCAUGGAGGGGUAGGGAAAAAGAUUAUUUGCAAAUACGCAGAAAAAACAAACGAACAACAAACAAAAUCUUGUUUCUGAUCCCUACACAACAUGCUUUACUUCUUACAUUACAGAAGUGAAUCACAGAGGAUCCUGAAAACUAAACUUUAUUUGCUGUUUUGGAAUAAGCCCUUUUUCACGUGUCGCUAGAGGGGGUUGUCUUAUUUUCUUUCUUUCCUUUCUUUCUUUUCUUUCUUUCUUUCUUUCUUUCUUUCUUUCUUUCUUUCUUUCUUUCUUUCUUUCCUUUCUUUCUUUCUUUCUUUCUUCCUUCCUUCCUUUCUUCCUUCCUUCCUUUCUUCCUUUCUUCCUAUCUUUCUUCCUUUUUCUUUUUCUUUCUUCUUUCUCUUUCUCUCUCUUUCUUUCUCUCUUUCUUUCUUUCUUUCUUUCUUUCUUUCUUUCUUUCUUUCUUUCUUUCUUUCUUUCUUUCAUCUUUUUUGAGACAGAGUCUCACUCUGUCGCCCAGGUUGGACUGCAGUGGCACAAUCUCGGCUCACCGCAACCUCUGCCUCCUGGGAUCAGGCAAUCCUCCUGCCUCAGCCUCUUGAGUAGCUGGCAUUACAGGCGUGCGGUACCACACUCAGCUAAUUUUUGUAUUUUUAUUGGAGAUGGGGUUUCACCAUGUUGGCUAGGCUGGUCUCGAACUCCUGACCUCAGGUGAUCCACCUGCCUCAGCCUUCUGGGGGUUGUCUUUCUUUAGCAGCCUGAGCAAGGUGUGACUGGCCAUGGCUUCUAAAUAUCUAAACAAUGAUCACUGCUGGAGAGUAGGACCUUGGCCACAGAGGUGAAUGAAUAUUCAGCCUGUUAUUCUGGAUUAAUUGGGAAUUGAUUAAAUUAGUUAUCUGAAAAGACUCACAAAGUCCAAUAAAUGCUUUCACAUUAAGCAGUUUGGAGAACGUUGUUUUAUGAUUAAGUCCAACUGAGGCAGCAUCUUCUGAAUGUGUCUGACACCCACAUCCAGCUAGAGGAAAGAAGAGACCAAAGAUUGAACUCCGAGGCUGAUAAAACAAAUUGCUUGUUUUGUGACUUGACUUACUGGUAUAAAAUGCUUAAUUUAAUUUAGGUAAGCAUGAAUAACAAAGAAUUUAGGGGUUCUUUGUUCAAUCUCUAAACACACACAUCAACAUUGCCCAACCCUGUGUUUCCAACCAGAGCAGCCCGUACCUGAAUUCCACACACACAGGGAGAUUGUCUGGCAUGAUGUCUCAGAUCCUCUCUGUUUUGACUUCUUCCUGGACAGGGAAGGUGGACUCACCCAUUCAUGAUUUGAGAGGAGGAAGUAAGCACAGCCUAGCUCUGUGCUUUCUGCCCCCCACAAUGACAGGGAGUAUUUUGUUCUGUUUCACUUUUAGUGAAGUUGGAGGCACAGCCUUACCAGGGGAGACCUACAGAUUUCUAGUGCUACCUAAGACUGGGUGGACACAUUGUCCUCUUUCUCAGGUGUGGAGCAAACCACAGAGGAGACAGGUGGUGUCACUUCCUCCACCCCCGCGUCCCCUGUGGCGUGGGUGAUGGCCUGCUCUGCACCUGCCUCUCUUUGGUCUUUUUCAGUUUGUUCCAAACUGAUUUGAGUAAGAACAUGCUAAGUGUUCGAGAUUAUACAACUGACACCACAUGCAUUAGGGAUGCAUAUUCAAAAUCUCUUUUUCAAAUUUAAUUCCAGCCGUAGAGGUGUUUUAUUGUAAAAUAACUGCCUCCCUUGUUAAAAUAAAAUGAUUAUCUCAUGUGAGAAGUGAGCAAAGCCUUUCAGAUAUUUCCAGGAAAUUUUCCUGCCUUUCCAGUUCUUCACAUUUUGAAUCUCUCUUCACUAAUUAUAUGCAAAAUCAUCUCUUUUUUCUGUUUUCAUUAUUUUAUAUGAAAAAAGCUCUCCAACUCGAAACAAAACUCAUGCAAAAUUAACAAAUAAAAAUUCACAAAAAGCAAAGAUAAAAUGAUUGCCAUGAUGCAUACAUUUAGUCCUACAAAAAUUAUGCUUUAGUCUUAAGGAGUAUUAUGCAUUUCUGGGCACACUGGUGAGUUUCUUUUCCUUCCACACUACCUGUACUCAUACUUGAAAAUAUCUUACUUCCUAAUAUCAAAUCAGUGUCCUGGAUAUUGGAGAUCUUUUUUGUGGAAAAAAAUAAAAGUGCCCAUAUGCACUUUGACUUCUCCUUCCUGUUGAAGAAAUACUUUUAACAGCAGCGGCAUCCCAGAAAUAGCAAUGAAUACUAAGUACCAACCCUUGGAAUAAACUCGCACAGUCACUGAGAAAUACAUAAAAUUCAUGUAUUUUGCACGGAAGAGUGAAAUGAAAGGAGAUAUUCCUGCAAGUGUGGAAACAACGACCCCUCCCACACUGCCCCUUGGAGACCUUCACUCAUAAGCUCUCCACCCUCCACACGUGGACAUCUGGGCCUACUGCAGGUUGUUGUAAAGAAUUCUCCCUGAGGCAUGUCAUUAUUAAUGGACAUUAGCACUGACAAUGUCCUCCCUAGCCAUUCAUUCGCAGUGGCUUUCCCUGAAGGGAACGGCCAUCGAAACCCCUCCUGGAAGGUCCUGAAGAUUAACUGAUGGGGCAUAUUUUAAAAUUAAUAAGAUUUCCUAAAAUUUCAAGAACAACAUUUUGGGCUUUUUAAAAAUUAAAUAGAGUAUUCAUUGGAAGAGAAGAAGAAAUGCUACAUGUAGGCAGGAUUUGGGAGAAUAGCAAAGUGAUGAUAGCGGACUCUGUUAUGCUCCGAGAUAGACUGCGUGGUUAAGACUCCUCUCCUGCAGCACCCUGCGACCUCGACAGUCACUGUCGGAGGCAGAAAAGGACAGGUGACUCCACAGACCAAGGGACCCGCACACUUAGUGCUGAGGGCCAGGGACUCCUGCUGCUCCCGGGGACUGGUAUGUGUGGACACCUGAGCUGCAUGCUUCCUAGGGACUGCCUGCAGAGUCUGGGUGGUGCAGCUUGAACUUGCGAGAAAAUUAACCCUCUGGGCAGAGAACAACUUGAGCAUGGGGGAGAGAAGAGGCUCACGAAUAAAUUACUUCCCUUCACCUCCCCAGAUGGACUUCCUGAAGUCCACAGUUCAUACGACCCUGUGCAGAUGCCCCGCUCAGACUGAGCUGUGCUUGUCACAAAGCCCUGGCCAGCCAGAGAAUGCACCCUUAUAUCUGCUCUCCCCACUUUCUGCUCCCUCUUCCUUUGUUCCCUCCUCUGGCUUUCUGGGUUUGCACUCCCCAUUAGAGCAUUAGUAUGGUAAAUUUUCACUCCUAGCUCUGUUUUAUUAAGAAUCCACUCUGAGAUAGUCAGAUUUUUUUAAAGUUUUAUUCUUAAGAAAAAAAUAGUCUUUUGAAAAAUUAUAUAAAUUUCUCCAAACUUGUUAAGUGGCAUAUUGAGGACUGUAAUUCAGAAUUUCUGAAGUUGUUUCCAUAAUAUGGGCACUUUGAAAAGAAAUAUGAAUCAUUGAAGCACUUUAUUAGUGCAUUGUUAUCCCUGAUGAGCCAAUAUUUACCAUAUAAUUAUUUACACCUUUGCUAAUAAUAUGGGAGCUAAUAAAAAUCUUCGUGUGGGCAGAGUAAUUGCAUUGGGUCACCUUCAGUAUUAUGUUACUAGAUGGCCUCCAGCAGGUGUUCAUUUCAUCUGAUGUGUAUCAUUUCUACUGAUGUCAGUUACAUUUCAUCAAAGCAUAGUAAUUAUGUUACAUAGCAAAGUAAAUUCUGCAGAAUAUUAUAAAAUGACAAUCAUAGGCUUGGUGAACAUGUGAAUAAGAUACUAGUCCUCUGUACUCAUGGUGUAAUAGAUAAAUAUCUGGAGACUAUUCUAUACAAGAAAUAGAACUAAAAGACUGGCAAAUAUUAAACAUAUGAUACAGAAAAAUAGAAAAAGAUUUUAUUAUAUUGCUAACUUAAAGAUUAACUUUUCUAUUUAUCAACACAGUAUCAUUAGAUUUUAUCAUUUACUUAUCCAGAAUAUAUAUAAGAAAUGUUUUUCUUAGGCUUGGUUUAAAAUGAUCAACUAUGAUUGUGCAUGUACUUUUAAUUCUCAUCCUUCCUUUGUCAACUGUCAUAUAUUCCUGGGAGCAAACAAUUAGGAAAUAGUUUAGCAAAACAAAACCUGCUGUGGACGGAACACAUCAUAUUAUUAUAUUGAAGAUUAUUAUAUUUAAGAUUUAAUUUUUGUGACUUUAUUGCCAGAAAUAUUUGUUCAUGCUAAUAUAGAAGAUUUUUCUUUCCUACAUAUAUAAUCAGCUUUUCAUUGUAUUUUUAAAGUGGGUUGUUUUUUAAUGCCUCAUGUUUUGUCAGUAUAGUGAAAUAGAAAAAUAAGAUGACCAUAUAAAACAUCAUCCAAAAUUUUUAAGUACGAUCUUUAUUUAGAAAACCAAGAAUCCUAUGAAAAAUAGAACUACAUUACAUUGUUCAACAGAAGACAGGUUAUAAGUCAUCAUAUUAGUGAACACAUAGAUUCAUUUCUAUUACCAACUCAAGGAACAAAACAAAAAUAGUAUCUCUCUUCCUUCAAUUUGCCUUACUUCUUUAUUUAACCUGCAUGAGAUGUUGACUAAUUUGCAAAACAAUAGUAAUAAACCUAGAAGUCUUUUUUAAUAUUUUGCAGUCUAGGAGUGUUUCAUGCUCAUGUUGGAUUUCUAAGUCAGUUUACCCAUUAAUUAUAAUAUGAUAUUAAGAAUACUAUGUACUUAUAUCAAAUCAAAAUGUUGCAUUCCUUGAAUACAUACAACUUUUAUUUAUCAAUAAUGCCAA
rnacentral:lncRNA from 10 species